UGGGGGAUAUUGCACAAUGGGGGAAACCCUGAUGCAGCAAUGCCGCGUGAGGGAAGAAGGUCUUCGGAUUGUAAACCUAAGUUGUCAGGGACGAAAUAAAUGACGGUACCUGAAGAGGAAGCUCCGGCUAACUACGUGCCAGCAGCCGCGGUAAUACGUAGGGAGCGAGCGUUGUCCGGAAUUACUGGGUGUAAAGGGUGCGUAGGCGGGGCAGCAAGUCAGGCGUGAAAUACCGGGGCUCAACUCCGGGGCUGCGCUUGAAACUGUUGCUCUUGAGUGAAGUAGAGGUAAGCGGAAUUCCUAGUGUAGCGGUGAAAUGCGUAGAUAUUAGGAGGAACACCAGUGGCGAAGGCGGCUUACUGGGCUUCAACUGACGCUGAGGCACGAAAGCGUGGGGAGCAAACAGG
rnacentral:rRNA from 1 species